CAGCCGCCGCGGUAAUACGGAGGGUGCAAGCGUUAAUCGAAAUUACUGGGCGUAAAGCGCACGCAGGCGGCUUGUUAAGUCAGAUGUGAAAUCCCCGAGCUUAACUUGGGAACUGCAUUUGAAACUGGCAAGCUAGAGUCUUGUAGAGGGGGGUAGAAUUCCAGGUGUAGCGGUGAAAUGCGUAGAGAUCUGGAGGAAUACCGGUGGCGAAGGCGGCCCCCUGGACAAAGACUGACGCUCAGGUGCGAAAGCGUGGGGAGCAAACGGGAUUAGAUACCCCGGUAGUCCCUGUCUCUUAUAC
rnacentral:rRNA from 1 species